GGGUGCAGGAUCCAGAAAAGAGAAGCCAGUAGUGAACACUGACCGUGGACAACAGAUGAAACAGACAGACGAACUAUUGCAAGAAGGUGUGGAUACAACAGUACAUUGAGAGCCGAGAAGGAAGGACUGUGCUGGAGUACUAAUUCUGAACAUGGCACUAGGUCUUUCAUGAACCCAAGGAGCUGAUAUAUUUCCAGAAACCCACCCCAUGGUACAUGCUCAGAUGGGAAGGGCUUGAACCACCCAACUAGAAGCAGAACACAGACAGAUGUUUUCCUCAGGUGCUACCCCAGACGAUACUGCCAGGACCGCAAUUCAUUGUGCAGCUUGUGCUGACGGCGGCCUCACCGUACCCUGCACCGCUUGCUGUCCCCUCCUGGAUUGCAGCAAACCCUGCAACAGGAUGCCCUUCGUGGUGACAAGCACUCCCAUCAACUGCCCAGAGUGUUAACCCUUUUCCUUGUACUUCUUCCCAGGAUGUUGCUAAGAAGAAUGGAGAUAGUAAGUCUAAAUCAGGAUCUGGCAACGGACAUUCGUGCUCAUCUCCUGCGAGGAUGCGGAGGAAAUCCAGACACGCCAGCCCUUCUUUUUAG